CAGUAGCCGCGGGAAUACGUAGGUGGUAAGCGUUGUCCGGAAUUAUUGGGCGUAAAGGGCUCGCAGGCGGUUUCUUAAGUCUGAUGUGAAAGCCCCCGGCUCAACCGGGGAGGGUCAUUGGAAACUGGGAAACUUGAGUGCAGAAGAGGAGAGUGGAAUUCCACGUGUAGCGGUGAAAUGCGUAGAGAUGUGGAGGAACACCAGUGGCGAAGGCGACUCUCUGGUCUGUAACUGACGCUGAGGAGCGAAAGCGUGGGGAGCGAACAGGAUUAGAUACCCCCGUAGUCCCUGUCUCUUAUAC
rnacentral:rRNA from 1 species